rnacentral:lncRNA from 1 species
AAUCAAAAGAGAUUGUAUUUUAACAAUUCAUCAUUCAACUGACUGCUCCUAGCGUAAAUGGCAAAGACUUGAUGGUUGACAUCCGAGAUCCCAAAUUCGAAUCCUAGUUGAUUUAUAUUUCAAGCUAAGUUUAUUUUUAAAUGAAAUAAACGAAGCACCUAUUUCUCAAAAUAAAAAAAAAACAAUUCAUCAUUCAAGGAUUGUAAACC